UCUCUCUCUCUCUCUGCGUUCCUAAAGGUGCAGGCCAGCCGUGCAGUGGACCUUUGGCAAAGUCUCAGAUGUGGUCCUCAGAUCUCAAGGAGUGCCUGCACAGUUCUUUCCGCACCUGUUUCCUCCACUGUACACCCCUGAGAGGUAGUUCAUCUCCAACACACACAAACACAGCAUGUCCAAGAGAGAGAGAGAUCCAGAAGGCCCUUGUGGAUGAGAAGCACGCACAGAGUUCUUGCCCAGACCAAGGGUGCCUAUCGGCUGUAACAGCAACUCCAUGUGGAAGCGUCACAUCAUUCCAGUGGGGAGGCUGUUAUUUUGGAUGGGCACUCAAAAGACAUGUGGCACCACGCGGGGCUCCAGGAGGACACAACAGUGUGGUGGGGAGGGGGAAUAUUAGCCCUCCAUGCUGCAGGCCUAUCACCUGUGGCCACUGUGCACUGGCUGGGCAAUGCAAAAUUAUGUGUGGCAAUGUUUUUUUUUAUUCUGAUCUAUAUAGGUCUGAGCGCAUGAUCUUAACCCCAUCCCAGUACAUUCCAAUGAAUGGGUAAUGCUUUUCCAGUUAGCGUGUCAUUAUAAUUGGAACUUCCUUGAGAUGUAAAAGAUUGGUUGAUUGACUGGAUUGGAUUGGAUUGGAUUUAUAUAUACCCCAUUAUUGCAAGCUGGAUGGUUUACAGGUUAAAACCUAAAACCCUCAGGCCUCC